AGAGUGGUGAAUUCGUGAUCUUUGAUUUGCAAUUUCAAGAUAUUCUACAGACAGCAAUCGUGCCUGCAUGAUUUCUGGCUAAGUAUUGAAGAAGGUCAACUGUUUUGUAGUUACCCCCUGGAAACAAAACAACAAUAACCCCUUUCAAAAUGAGGCAUGUCCAAGACGAUACUUGGGUAACAUUAACAUAUCCAUCUACUUAGAGAAGGGAUUACGAAUCUUACUCAAAAGCACGGAAAGAUUUUCCACGUGCUUUUCAGCAUACAGACUUUGCAGAAAGUGAUUACGACCCACAACUAAUGAAAGCAGGCAUUAGUAAACCUGUAGGUAGAAUUUCAAGAUUGAAGAGGAAACUAUCGACAGAGGAAAGUGGAAAAGACAGCGGUCAUGAUCUUUCAUUGUUAUAAAACAGACCCUCACUCCCUCUUUCUCUGGGUAAUUGUUUGCUGAGUCGUGACAUGGAAGAAACCCUUGAUGAUGUCGGACCACAUGCACAGAACCUUAGUGAUGAAGAUGAUGAAAU